rnacentral:lncRNA from 1 species
GCAUUUCAAACACAAUGAAUGAGAAAAAAAUAAACUGGUGCUAUGUAAUCUACGGUUUCCUAGGACUUGUGUGUUGAGGAAAAGAUGGUGGCAGAAUGAGAAUUACAGACCAAGGAAAAGCAAAAGUGUGAAGGCCUUGAGCGAGGAGGAGCAUGAAACUUCAGAAAUGAAACGCAACAUAUUCACAGUUGAGAAAGGGACUUUUAGGAUACAGACAACUUUGGAGGGCCAUUAUUCUGCCUGCCACAGAGAUAUCAUCCAUAAGUGACUCGUCUCUAAAAAUUAAAGAUAGAAAAUGGAGUUGAUGCAGGAAAAAUAAGAAAUCGAUGUCAUGGAUAAAGACGACUUCUCCUGGUCUCGUUUCUCUAAGCAAAACAACUCAGUAGCUCAAGAGACUAGGUAAG